rnacentral:lncRNA from 1 species
UUAUUAGCAGUCUUCCUUAUUUGACAUUUAGACAGUUUUCUGAUGAUUUCUGGAUUCCAUUAUUGUGGUUACCUCAAAUUCAUACCAGCUUAUGUUGUACUUCAUACAUUAGAUUUUGUUGGAAUAAGAUGAUAGAUUUUGUUGGAAUAAGAUGAUCCAUAACAUUGAUCUAUAGCAAUAAACUGGAUUCAUGAGACAUAAAUGUGAUCUGUGAAUAGUAAAGAAAAAGUGUGCUACAGAGAGGAGGCCUUUUUUUUAUGUUUUAGUGUCCAUUAUUAUUAUUAUUAUUAUUUUCAUUUUUUUGGGGGUGGGAGAGGGGAUGCAAAUUUAUCAUUUAAAUGCACCUGCUAUGAAGAGGAAUGAGUAACCAGAACAUAAUGUGAAAAUGAUGAAUCACGAAUUUGAACUUGAAGUAUGGCUUGUGGAACCUCAUUACUCUGAGUCCUUGGUGAGCUUAUGUGACUUGUGUGCUCAAUGGUACUUAGCCUGUGCCUUUUUAUCUUCUCAUUAUUGUUAUUUUGUUGAGUAUUUACACUUUUACCCCCUCUUACAUGCUUCCUUUUGCUCCCACUGGACUAAAUGUUAAAGGGCAUAAUUCUAAUUUUAAAGAAAUUUCUAGGUCUCUAUGCUAUGAACAUGAUGAAGAAUCGACUACACAAUCGUAUGGGAGAUGAGUGG